GACGAACGCUGGCGGCGUGCUUAACACAUGCAAGUCGAACGGAAAGGCCCCUUCUGGGGUACUCGAUUGGCGAACAGGUGAGUAACACGUGAGUAACCUGCCCUUGACUUCGGGCUAACUUCAGGAAACUGGGGCUAAUACCUGCUAGAAAUCCUUGCUGCAUGGUGGGGGUUGGAGAGCUUCGUCGGGUUUGGAUUGACUCGCGGCUUAUCAGCUUGUUUGUGGGGUAGUUGCUUACCAAGGCUUUGACGGGUAGCCGGCCUUAGAGGGGUGCCGGGCACAUUGGGACUGGGGUACGGCCCAGACUCCUACGGGAGGCAGCAGUGGGGAAUAUUGCACAAUGGGCGGAAGCCUGAUGCAGCCACGCCGCGGGCGGGAUGACGGCCUUCGGGUUGUAAACCGCUUUCAGCAGGGGCGAAGCUUGUGGUGACGGUACCUGCAGAAGAAGCACCGGCUAACUACGUG
rnacentral:rRNA from 1 species